GGUCUGCAUCUCUACUUGCUCCGACACAUCGAUCUGAGUCAGCACCAGAGUCCUGCCACCGCCGCUACUGCCAUAGCCACCGCCAUCACCGCCGCCGCCAAUCUCGCUGCUACCGUCCGGCGCACGAUGUAAGCUGCAAUGCCCCGCGAUCACAUUGCCGUUAAUGCCGCAGGCGGCGGCAGCAGGGGGCCCAGCGCCUUCGCGUAAGCUGCUGCCACCACCCGCACCCUCCCAUGUGCAUGUGGCGACAUGAACUCUGUGAUACACGGGGCGAUUGUGCUUCGGCGUUGGGGGCACGCUCGUUGUCGACGUUGCAGCCGUGGCGGCACCCCUGCCCGCGU
rnacentral:lncRNA from 1 species